GAUGAACGCUGACAGAAUGCUUAACACAUGCAAGUCAACUGUGGCGGACGGGUGAGUAACGCGUAAAGAACUUGCCUCACAGAUAGGGACAACAUUUGGAAACGAAUGCUAAUACCUGAUACUGUGAGAGAGCUUUGGGUCCCAUUAGCUAGUUGGAGAGGUAACGGCUCACCAAGGCGAGGAUGGGUAGCCGGCCUGAGAGGGUGAGCGGCCACAAGGGGACUGGGAGACGGCCCUUGCUCCUCUGGGAGGCAGGAGUGGGGAAUGUUGGACAAUGGCCCAAAGUCUGAUACAGCAAUUCUGUUUGCAAGAUGAAUUUUUCGGAAUGUAAAGUGCUUUGCGUUGAGAAGCGGUACCAACAGAAGAAGCCACGGCUAACUACGUGCCAGCAGCCGCGGUAAUAC
rnacentral:rRNA from 1 species